rnacentral:rRNA from 1 species
AGUGAGCGCUGGCGGUAGGCCUAACACAUGCAAGUCGAACGGCAGCACAGUAAGAGCUUGCUCUUACGGGUGGCGAGUGCGGACGGGUGAGGAAUACAUCGGAAUCUACUUUUUCGUGGGGGAUAACGUAGGGAAACUUACGCUAAUACCGCAUACGACCUACGGGUGAAAGCAGGGGAUCUUCGGACCUUGCGCGAUUGGAUGAGCCGAUGUCGGAUUAGCUAGUUGGCAGGGUAAAGGCCCACCAAGGCGACGAUCCGUAGCUGGUCUGAGAGGAUGAUCAGCCACACUGGAACUGAGACACGGUCCAGACUCCUACGGGAGGCAGCAGUGGGGAAUAUUGGACAAUGGGCGCAAGCCUGAUCCAGCCAUACCGCGUGGGUGAAGAAGGCCUUCGGGUUGUAAAGCCCUUUUGUUGGGAAAGAAAAGCAGCAGGUUAAUACCCCGCUGUUCUGACGGUACCCAAAGAAUAAGCACCGGCUAACUUCGUG